UACGUAGGCAGCGAGCGUUGUUCGGAGUUACUGGGCGUAAAGGGUGUGUAGGCGGUUGUUUAAGUUUGGUGUGAAAUCUCCCGGCUCAACUGGGAGGGUGCGCCGAAUACUGAAUGACUAGAGUGCGGGAGAGGAAAGUGGAAUUCCUGGCGUAGCGGUGAAAUGCGCAGAUAUCAGGAGGAACACCGGUGGCGAAGGCGGGACUCUGGGCCGAUACUGACGCUGAGGAGCGAAAGCGUGGGGAGCAAACAGG
rnacentral:rRNA from 1 species